GCAGAAUUGCAGAUGCGGCGCACAUGCGAACGUAACAAACACAGCAACACGCCCACGCUAGCGGUUUCCAUUUCCGGCCCUGCAAUCCUGCACCGGCGCGAAAGCCCCCUCACGGCCUCACCUCCACUCCGGUGAUGGCCGCCUCUCCUUUACUUCUCAGAUCUCAGUGCUCACGCCGUCCACGGUCCACUAGUUGCAUCGGCUCCCGCAUAAAGAUCCACACCACUUGAGCAGCAGCUAGCUCAAGGGAAGGAGAAGGCUGGAAGUGGAAAGAAGUGGGUUCUUGCUUGAGCUGAGCUCUUGCUGCCCUUGAAUCUGUUAGGGAGUGGAGAACGGAGUAUGGGGCGCGGCAAGAUCGAGAUCAAGAGGAUCGAGAACUCUACCAACCGGCAGGUGACCUUCUCCAAGCGCCGGGCCGGACUGGUCAAGAAGGCACGGGAGAUCGGCGUGCUCUGCGACGCCGAGGUCGGCGUCGUCAUCUUCUCCAGCGGCGGCAAGCUCUACGACUACUGCUCGCCCAGGACCUCGCUGUCCAGGAUCUUGGAGAAGUACCAGACCAACUCCGGGAAGAUUCUGUGGGGUGAGAAGCACAAGAACCUGAGUGCAGAGAUCGACAGAGUCAAGAAGGAGAACGACAACAUGCAGAUUCAGCUCAGGCAUCUGAAAGGCGAGGACCUGAACUCCCUGCAGCCCAGGGAGCUGAUCGCUAUUGAAGAGGGCCUCCAGAAUGGGCAGACCAACAUGCGCGAGAAGCAGAUGGACUACUGGAGGAUGCACAAGACGAAUGGGAAGAUGCUGGAGGACGAACACAAGAUACUGACUUUUAGGAUGCACCAACAGGCUGUUGAUCUGAGCGGCGGCAUGAGGGAGCUGGAGACCGGAUACCAUCAGGUCCAGCACGACAGGGAUUUCAUUUCCCAGAUGCCGUUCACCUUCCGGGUGCAGCCCAACCACCCCAACCUGCAGGAAGACGAGUAGCUACAGCCUGCUGGAUAGUGUUCUGCAUGCCGCUCUGAACUGAAGCUGCAGGAAGACGAGUAGCUACAGCCUGCUGGAUAGUGUUCUGCAUGCCGCUCUGAACUGGAGCUCCUCACCUGCAGCUUCUAUCUCGCGUUUCAUCAUUCAGCGUUAGCUGGUGAUGAUGAUGUUGGGGCGAAGGCGGAGACGCUACCCUUGGCUCGAUGCCUUCGUCGCCUUCGUCGUCUCGCUUCACCAACGAUGCCAAAGACGUCGGUCCGAUGAGGACUUCGCGACUGGACUUCGCGGGCGUCCUUCGCCCUUCUCCAUUGCGAGACGAAGGCAAGACUCCGACGAUGUCUGCUAGCCUCACGUCCUCAUCGGGUCCGGAAGCCCAAGGGAGAUUCGGUCCACUGUAACGGGCCCCGCAAGGAUAAGCGUGUUACGGGCCUCAUCUGUAAUAGUCUUUUCUGUAAUGACGGUCUGUAACCUCCCCUGGGGAAUAUUCUAAGGAUACUUUGGGUUCCCGAGGGCAUAAACGUCAUUUUUUUA